rnacentral:rRNA from 1 species
UACGGAGGGUGCAAGCGUUAUCCGGAUUCACUGGGUUUAAAGGGUGCGUAGGCGGACAGGUAAGUCAGUGGUGAAAUCUCUGGGCUUAACUCGGAAAGGUCAACUGAUACUGUGCGACUAGAGUGCAGAAGGGGCAACUGGAAUUCUCGGUGUAGCGGUGAAAUGCGUAGAUAUCGAGAGGAACACCUGCGGCGAAGGCGGGUUGCUGGGCUGACACUGACGCUGAUGCGCGAAAGCCAGGGGAGCGAACGGG